rnacentral:rRNA from 1 species
CGAAAGAUUGAUUCAGUUACUUAUUAGAACCAUAUAUAAUAAUAUUUAUUAAUAUAUAAUAUUAAUAUAUAAAAUAUAUAUAUAAAUUGAUUAAAAAUAAAGUUCAUAAAUAGUUUAAAUAAUGAUAUAAACUAAUCUUUUAUUAAUAAAGAUAUAUAUUUAAGUUAUUAUUAUUUAAUAAUUUUAAUUUAAAUAUAUUUUAAUAGUCCUAACCAAAAUUUGUGCCAGCAGCUGCGGUAAUACAAAGAGGGCUAGCGUUAAUCAUAAUGGUUUAAAGGAUACGUAGAAUUAAUAUAAUAUAAAAUUAUAUUUAGAGUUAAUAUAUAUUAAUUAAAGAAUUAUAAUAGUAAAGAUGAAAUAAUUAUGAUAAUUAUAAGACUGGUAUAUGUGAAAAUAUUAAUUAAUUUAUUAACUGACAUUGAGGUAUUAAGACUAGAGUAGCGAAACGGAUUCGAUACCCGUGUAGUUCUAGUAGUAAACUAUGAGUACUAUAUAUUAUAAUAUAUAUAUUUAUAAUAUAUACAUGAAAAUGUAAGUAUUCCACCUGAAGAGUACGUUAGCAAUAAUGAAACUCAAAACAAUAGACGGUUACAGACUUAAGCAGUGGAGCAU